rnacentral:rRNA from 1 species
UACGGGGGGGGCAAGCGUUGUUCGGAAUUACUGGGCGUAAAGGGUUUGUAGGCGGCCAACUAAGUCAGACGUGAAAUCCCUCAGCUUAACUGGGGAACUGCGUCUGAUACUGGUUGGCUUGAGUGCAGGAGAGGAAUGCGGAAUUCCAGGUGUAGCGGUGAAAUGCGUAGAUAUCUGGAGGAACACCGGUGGCGAAGGCGGCAUUCUGGACUGCAACUGACACUGAAGAACGAAAGCCAGGGGAGCAAACGGG